rnacentral:rRNA from 1 species
GAUGAACGCUGGCGGCGUGCCUAAUACAUGCAAGUCGAGCGAACGGACGAGAAGCUUGCUUCUCUGAUGUUAGCGGCGGACGGGUGAGUAACACGUGGAUAACCUACCUAUAAGACUGGGAUAACUUCGGGAAACCGGAGCUAAUACCGGAUAAUAUUUUGAACCGCAUGGUUCAAAAGUGAAAGACGGUCUUGCUGUCACUUAUAGAUGGAUCCGCGCUGCAUUAGCUAGUUGGUAAGGUAACGGCUUACCAAGGCAACGAUGCAUAGCCGACCUAAGAGGGGGAUCGGCCACACUGGAACUGAGACACGGUCCAGACUCCUACGGGAGGCAGCAGUAGGGAAUCUUCCGCAAUGGGCGAAAGCCUGACGGAGCAACGCCGCGUGAGUGACGAAGGUCUUCGGAUCGUAAAACUCUGUUAUUAGGGAAGAACAUAUGUGUAAGUAACUGUGCACAUCUUGACGGUACCUAAUCAGAAAGCCACGGCUAACUACGUG